rnacentral:rRNA from 1 species
AUACGUAGGUGACAAGCGUUAUCCGGAUUUAUUGGGCGUAAAGGGCGCGUAGGCGGCCCGGUAAGUCUGGAGUGAAAGUCCUGUUUUUAAGAUGGGAAUUGCUUUGGAUACUGUCGGGCUUGAGUGCAGGAGAGGUAAGUGGAAUUCCCAGUGAAGCGGUGAAAUGCGUAGAGAUUGGGAGGAACACCAGUGGCGAAGGCGACUUACUGGACUGUAACUGACGCUGAGGCGCGAAAGUGUGGGGAGUAAACAGGAUUAGAUACCCUGGUAGUCCACACUGUAAACGAUGAAUGCUAGGUGUAGGGGGUAUCGACCCCUUCUGUGCCGCAGUCAACACAAUAAGCAUUCCGCCUGGGGAGUACGGCCGCAAGGUUGAAACUCAAAUGAAUUGACGGGG